rnacentral:rRNA from 1 species
CCUACGGGUGGCAGCAGUGAGGAAUAUUGGUCAAUGGGCGAGAGCCUGAACCAGCCAAGUCGCGUGAGGGAAGACGGUCCUAUGGAUUGUAAACUUCUUUUGUCGGGGAGCAAUAGAGGCCACGCGUGGCCUUCCGGGAGUAACCGGAGAAAAAGCAUUGGCGUACCCCGUUACAGCCGCCGCGGUAAUACGGAGGAAGCCAGCCUUAUCCGGAUUUAUUGGGUUUAAAGGGUGCGUAGGCGGAAGAUCAAGUCAGCGGUAAAAAUGUGAGGCUCAACCUCGUCGAGCCGUUGAAACUGGUGUUCUUGAGUGAGUGAGAAGUAUGCGGAAUGCGUGGUGUAGCGGUGAAAUGCAUAGAUAUCACGCAGAACUCCGAUUGCGAAGGCAGCAUAGCGGCGCUCAACGGACGCUCAUGCACGAAAGUGUGGGUAUCGAACAGGAUUAGAUACCCGAGUAGUC